rnacentral:rRNA from 1 species
UACAGAGGUCUCAAGCGUUGUUCGGAUUUAUUGGGCGUAAAGAGCACGUAGGCUGAGUGGUAAGUUAGUUGUGAAAUCCCGGGGCUCAACCCCGGACCCGCAGCUAAAACUGCCUCUCUCGAGGAUAGACGGAGAAAAGGGAAUUCCACGUGUAGCGGUGAAAUGCGUAGAUAUGUGGAAGAACACCGGUGGCGAAGGCGCUUUUCUAGUUUAUUCCUGACGCUGAGGUGCGAAAGCAAGGGGAGCAAACAGG